AGCAGAAGCGGAGCCUUUAAGAUGAAUAUAAAUCCUUAUUUUCUCUUCAUAGAUGUGCCCGUACAGGCAGCAAUUUCAACAACAUUCCCAUACACUGGUGUUCCCCCUUAUUCCCAUAACAGUGCAUCAUACAGGAAGCCAGUGGGUCAACAUAGCAUGCUUGAGGCUAUGGCCCACAGAUUAAGAAUGGAUGCACGAUUAGAUUAUGAAUCAGGGAGAAUGUCAAAGGAUGAUUUUGAGAAAGCAAUGGCUCACCUUGGUGAGAUUGGGUACAUAUAAGCUUCGAAGAUGUUUAUGGGGUUAUUGGUCAUCAUUGAAUACAUGCGAUACACAAAUGAUUAAAAUGAAAAAAGGCUCGUGUUUCUACU
rnacentral:sRNA from 1 species